rnacentral:rRNA from 1 species
UACGUAGGGUGCGAGCGUUAAUCGGAAUUACUGGGCGUAAAGCGUGCGCAGGCGGUUUUGUAAGACCGAUGUGAAAUCCCCGGGCCUAACCUGGGAACUGCAUUGGUGACUGCAAGGCUUGAGUGCGGCAGAGGGGAAUGGAAUUCCGCGUGUAGCAGUGAAAUGCGUAGAUAUGCGGAGGAACACCGAUGGCGAAGGCAGUUCCCUGGGCCUGCACUGACGCUCAUGCACGAAAGCGUGGGGAG